GAACGUACGCUGGCGGCACGCCUAACACAUGCAAGUCGAACGAAGUAGCAAUACUUAGUGGCAGACGGGUGAGUAACAUGUAGGUAUCUGCCCUUUGGCCUGGAAUAACACGAGGAAACUUGUGCUAAUACCGGAUAAGUCUUUACGGAGAAAGCUUUAUGCACCAUUGGAUGAGCCUGCACUUGAUUAGUUUGUUGGUGGGGUAAUGGCCUACCAAGACUGUGAUCAAUAGCUGAUUUGAGAGGAUGAUCAGCCACAUUGGGACUGAGACACGGCCCAAACUCCUACGGGAGGCAGCAGUGGGGAAUCUUGCACAAUGGAGGAAACUCUGAUGCAGCGAUGCCGCGUGAGUGAAGAAGGCCCUUGGGUUGUAAAGCUCUUUCGUCGGGGAAGAAAAUGACUGUACCCGAAUAAGAAGGUCCGGCUAACUUCGUGCCAGCAGCCGCGGUAAUACGAAGGGACCUAGCGUAGUUCGGAAUUACUGGGCUUAAAGAGUUCGUAGGUGGUUGAAAAAGUUAGUGGUGAAAUCCCAGAGCUUAACUCUGGAACUGCCAUUAAAACUUUUCAGCUAGAGUAUGAUAGAGGAAAGCAGAAUUUCUAGUGUAGAGGUGAAAUUCGUAGAUAUUAGAAAGAAUACCAAUUGCGAAGGCAGCUUUCUGGAUCAUUACUGACACUGAGGAACGAAAGCAUGGGGUAGCGAAGAGGAUUAGAUACCCUCGUAGUCCAUGCCGUAAACGAUGUGUGUUAGACGUUGGAAAUUUAUUUUCAGUGUCGCAGGGAAACCGAUAAACACACCGCCUGGGGAGUACGACCGCAAGGUUAAAACUCAAAUGAAUUGACGGGGACCCGCACAAGUAGUGGAGCAUGUGGUUUAAUUCGAAGAUACGCGCAGAACCUUACCAACACUUGACAUGUUCGUCGCGACUCUAAGAGAUUAGAGUUUUCGGUUCGGCCGGACGAAACACAGGUGCUGCAUGGCUGUCGUCAGCUCGUGUCGUGAGAUGUUGGGUUAAGUCCCGCAACGAGCGCAACCCUCACUUUUAGUUGCCAUCAUUAAGUUGGGCACUCUGAAAGAACUGCCAGUGAUAAGCUGGAGGAAGGUGGGGAUGACGUCAAGUCCUCAUGGCCCUUACGUGUUGGGCUACACACGUGCUACAAUGGUAUCUACAACAGGAAGCAAGACUGCGAAGUUAAGCAAAUCCCGAAAAGAUGCCUCAGUUCGGAUUGCACUCUGCAACUCGAGUGCAUGAAGCUGGAAUUACUAGUAAUCGUGGAUCAGCGUGCCACGGUGAAUGCGUUCCCGGGUCUUGCACACACCGCCCGUCAAGGGCG
rnacentral:rRNA from 1 species